UACAGAGGGUGCUAGCGUUGUCCGGAUUUAUUGGGCGUAAAGAGCGUGUAGGCGGCCGCACAGGUCCGUUGUGAAAACUGGAGGCUUAACCUUCAGACGUCGAUGGAAACCGUGCGGCUAGAGUCCGGAAGAGGAGAAUGGAAUUCCUGGUGUAGCGGUGAAAUGCGCAGAUAUCAGGAAGAACACCCGUGGCUAAGGCGGUUCUCUAGUACGGUACUGACGCUGAGACGCGAAAGCGUGGGGAGCGAACAGG
rnacentral:rRNA from 1 species